AGUGACUUUGUUCAACGGCCGCGGUAUCCUAACCGUGCGAAGGUAGCGUAAYCAYUUGUCCUUUAAAUGAGGACUGGUAUGAAUGGCCACACGAAAGCUAUACUGUCUCCUUUUUCUAAUCAGUCAAACUAAUCUUCCCGUGAAGAAGCGGGAAUAAACCUAUAAGACGAGAAGACCCUAUGGAGCUUCAAACAACCAGGACAUUUGAUUUCACUAUACCUAUAUUAAACUAUUCUUAUUGUCCUUAGUUUUGGGUUGGGGUGACCACGGAGCAUAAACUAACCUCCAUGAUGAAUGAAUUUUUCUAUCCUUAGCUAAAAGCCACAUCUUAAUGCACCAAUAAACUGACUCUUAUUGACCCAAUAAUUUGAUCAACGAACCAAGUUACCCUAGGGAUAACAGCGCAAUCCACUUCAAGAGCUCUUAUCGACAAGUGGGCUUACGACCUCGAUGUUGGAUCAGGGUACCCCAGUGGUGCAGCCGCUACUAACGGUUCGUUUGUUCAACGAUUAAAACCCUACGUGAUCUGAGUUCAGACCGA
rnacentral:rRNA from 1 species